GACGAACGCUGGCGGCGUGCCUAAUACAUGCAAGUAGAACGCACAGUUUAUACCGUAGCUUGCUACACCAUAGACUGUGAGUUGCGAACGGGUGAGUAACGCGUAGGUAACCUGCCUGGUAGCGGGGGAUAACUAUUGGAAACGAUAGCUAAUACCGCAUAAUAUUAAUUAUUGCAUGAUAAUUAAUUGAAAGGUGCAAUUGCACCACUACCAGAUGGACCUGCGUUGUAUUAGCUAGUAGGUGAGGUAACGGCUCACCUAGGCGACGAUACAUAGCCGAGCGGAGAGGGGGAGCGGCCACGCUGGGAGUGAGACACGGGCCAGAGUGCGACGGGAGGCAGGAGUAGGGAAUGGUCGGGAAGGGAGGAAAGGCGGAGCGAGCAGGGCGGCGGGGGUGAAGAAGGUGUUGGGAUGGGAAAGGGGGGUGGUAAGGGAAGAGGGGGUGGGAGAGUGGAAAGUGCACGGGGUGACGGUAGCGGAGCAGAAAGGGACGGCUAACUACGUG
rnacentral:rRNA from 1 species